rnacentral:lncRNA from 1 species
GGCGCCGCGAGGGUCCCCCUGGCGCCAGAAGUGCUUCGGAUGUCGGGCGAUGAAGGCCAGGCUCGGACUCCGGAUUUUCCUCCUAAUUUGCCUCCUUUGCUCCUUCGUGGCACAAAGAAUUGCUGACGACUUCUCCUUGAUGACUAAAAACAUGGGGUUUAAAGAUAGUGGCUUAAAGGGGUCCGGUAUUGAAGAAGCCUGUAACAAAGGUAUGAGACCGAGGCUUGGUACUUUCUCAGUUUUGUGCUUUAGAUAAAUAAUACUGAACAGUUGUGAACAUACCCUAAAUUUCUAAACCAAAUACAAACACGCAAUGACAUAUACACACACACACACACACACA